rnacentral:rRNA from 1 species
GACGGAAGGUGCAAGCGUUGCUCGGAAUCACUGGGCGUAAAGGGUGCGUAGGCGGCCGUGCAAGUCUGGCGUGAAAGCCCCGGGCUCAGCCCGGGAAGUGCGCUCGAAACUGCGCGGCUCGAGUGCCGGAGGGGAGAGUGGAAUUCCUGGUGUAGCGGUGAAAUGCGUAGAUAUCAGGAGGAACACCUGUGGUGUAGACAGCUUACUGGACCACGACUGACGCUGAGACACGAAAGCGUGGGUAGCAAACAGG